AGACUUUUACACAUCCGCCGCUGGAACCGUUUUUCGUAGAGAUCAUUUGUCAGUGUCGAGAUCAGAUUCUGACAGCAUGCCAAAUAUUAAGAUUUCUCAAAUUGAUAAUACUGUUAUUAGAACACUCGGUGGUCGAAUAGCCAACGGACCGGCGGAUGCCACGCAUCUUGUAAUGACACGAGUAACAUUGGUUAGUGUUCGAUACUGCUUAUCUAGGAUAUGGAUUACUAAACGUGUCGGUGCAUGGUUUUUCCUAUGUGAAGGAUGUGGAUGAUACCUUUUAGUGUGAAGCUAUCCAUUCGGAAUGUAAAAUAAAUAAUUUAACUGAGUGAGAGAAUGGUAGGGAAACAGCAUGUUCGGCCAAGAAGAUCCGGAAAACGAAGCUAGAGAAACCCGGAAUGCUACGUGAUUAUAAGUUGUACGGAUGAUCAACAACCACUUAUUGAAAAAAAAUUGCAACAUGCAUACCUUGCUACUUCACUAAGCGUUUGUUUCGUAAUAUAUACAUUGAUGGCGGGCGAACGACAGCAUUCUAAAUUAUUUACGUUCACUGAUCCUAUCAACAUAACUGGAAUCAAAUGUUUAAAGCGAUAAUAUGUUUGCGUAGUAUAUAAAUCUUCCGAAAUACGUUGCAAAUGAAUAUUGAAGCAUUGUUUGGUCCCCAUUCUCAAUCACUCACAAUGAACGUAUAGAAUCAGUUCAAAAGCAAUUCCUAUUAUUUACACUCCGUAAGUUAGGUUGGGCAAGAUUUCCUCGUUGCAUGCGCAUCGACAUCCACACACUAGAAGAGCGUCGAGAACAAUCAAUGGUUUCGUUCAUACAUAACAUCGUUACACAUCGGGUUGAUUCAUCUGAACUUCUGUCUAAACUUAAUUUUCAUAUACCUUCCCGACAAUUACGAAACCGAGAUAUAUUCUAUAUAAGUCAUUAUCGUACCAACUAUGCUAAAUUUGGCCCAUUAAAUCAAAUGAUGUCAACUUAUAAUAAGCAUUGCGGAGCAAUUGACUUUACAAUGACGACAGCCCAGCUCAAGCAAUAUUUUAAUUCAAUACGACCUAGGUCCUAGAACAUAAUGCACAUUAAUGUUUAUUUUAGAAAAUAUCACACGUGUUAAAAUGUAAUCAAUUCAAUCUAAUGGUCUACUAUUGUUUGACGACAAAUAAAUGAAUAAGUUGUGCGCUGAGGGUGUACCCAUAGGUAAAUCUUUCAGUACCACCCGACAAUACAACUUUCUAGCUGCGAAUAUGAAA